GUGUUACAUUCGAGGUUGGGCUGUAUUCCGACUUGCUAUUGUUCAUGUUGUUUGCCAACUAGUGUAAGGUCAGCAGACGGAUGGGCUACCGUAUUUUCCACGUUGACAUUCGUGUAAAUGAAGAGGAAAAAUAAUUGACACGCGUGGAACCCGGUUUCUGAUGGAGACUUGACACAGAAUUGUCCCUGGACUAAGAUCUUGAAGCUUAUGUGACAUAUAUUAGCCAUAUCGGUUUGAUUGUCGUUGAGCAAGUGUCCCACAGUGUGUCCAGUCCUGAAGUAAGGGGCGUGGCCAUUAUUCACACUUGCUUCCAAGAAGAUUUGAGUCCAGUCAUCAGAAACCUCAUUUUAAAAUCUUAAUUAUUGUUAUUUUUGAACACAAGUCGUAGAUCAGCAUCAUGGAUCCCCAAACUAUCCUCAUUGGUGCUGCAGCAUUUGUUAUUUCUGCAAUUCUAAUUUAUUUGAUAUCUGCCUUUACUAUGAAAGAGAAAACUUUUGAGGAGGUCCUUGAGGAACAGCGUAGGCGACAGGAGGAAGAGAGAGAAAAGCAGAAGAGUGAGAAAAAAGCAGAGAAGGAACACAAGAAAAAAUAUCGUAAAGGCAAAGAAAAAACAAAAGAAAAGCCCGACAAGCCAGCCCCAGUGCAAGAAACUGAAGUACAAAGAGAUCACAAAAUGGUUAAUCUUGAAAUUGAUCCUGAAAUUAUUGAACCAGUUGAAACUGUAGCACUGAAUACCAAAAAGUCUAAAAACAAAAAGUCGAAGUCCAUUCUGGUCAACAAAGACGAAAAGCCAAUUGUGGCUGAGGGCAAGCAGAUGAAAGAACUUUAUCACAAGGAACAGGCACCUAAGGAUGAGGUUGAGCUUCACCAUGAGCAGCAACGAGGAAAAGAUAAACAGCACUCUGAGCAGCAGACCAAAGCAAGCAAGAAGCAAGAGAAGGCUGAGCGUUUGGAGAAGGAACGCAUUGUUCAUGUGGAGAAACGUACUGAGACCAUGGUUGAGAUACAGCACACCAGGGCUGUUAUGGCUGAAUCUGAGGUCAAGUCAUCUAGAUCCAAAGGCGGUGUCCAUGCAGCAGAUGGAUCGCCUCUGAAUGGUUCCAAAUUGAUUGCAUCUGUUAAAGCGGCCAACUUGAAGGAUUCUGAAAUUCAAACCCUGAUCGAGAUUCUCCUCAACCGACAAGGCAUCUCCACAUCAGGAGCAGGAGCAGCUUCAGCCACAGAAUGGAACAAGAAAAGCCAGAAGGGAGACCCCACAUCUCUGUUGAGGAAACAGCUGGAGGAGAAGGAGAGGGCCCUGCAGGAAGAGCAAACCAUCGCAAUGUCUGCCAGCAGCCGUGUGAAGGAGUUGAGACAAGACCUGUCAUCAGAGAAGGCCAAAUUUGCUUCACUGGAAAAACGCUACCAAGAAAAGCUGAGUCUUCAGGAGCGUGAGAUUGAGUCUCUUCAUGCACGCAUGCAAAACACCCACCAGCAGCACAUGAGGGACUCGGAAGCCUUGCAGUCCAAGGUGGCCCAGCUUGAGACAGCCGGGGACCUAAGUGUCAUACAGAAGCUCCAAGAGGAAAAGAAGCUCUUGAGUGAAACACUGGCCAAAACAGCGAGUGAGAAGACUAUCUCCCCGGCAGAGGUCAACAACCUCAAACAAAAGGUGCAGAUCAUGGAGAAGGAACUGUCCAGCAAUGCCAUCAAGCUGAACGCCUCCGAGAACGCCAAGAAGUCACUGGAACAGAAACUUGCCAAGUUUGAGGAGCAGCUGAAGAAACAUGAUGCAGGACAGAAGGACUCUGAUGUCCAGAUGACUCGCAGGAUGGAGGAAGUUAGCCAGGAGCUGCGUCGUGCCGAAGCCCGAAACGAAACACUUGCUAAUGACAAGAAGAAGGCUAGUACAGAACUGACCAAGGCAAAUGAUGCUCUGAAUAUUGCCCAGCAGGAAGUGAGCACACUCAAGUCAAAACUGCAGGAAUUGGAAAAACAUUUGUCAGCCAGCGAUAACCAAAAGGAACUUGAGACAAAAUUACAGGAAUCAGAGAGAAAGAAAUUGGAUUUAGAAGGAAAUAUUAAAAAUUUGGAAAAACAGCUAUUUGUUGUCCAAAAGCAGCGAGCAGAGCUUGAUUCAGAUAUGAAGACGCUGAAGCAAGAGAACUAUGCCUUGGCAGAAGAGAUGAAGACAACCAAGGAGAGGCAGGCUGGAGAGGGACAGGAGGCCCCAACAGCACCGGCCGGGGCUCCUAACGGGGAUGUCCAUGAGAAGGCAGAUGGGAAGCAAAUCGAAAUCAGUCAGCAUGAAAAAAUACUUGGAGAAAAAAUUGCAGAAAUUAGCAAACUGACAGUAGAUAUCCAGUCACAGAAACAACAGGUGUCAUCAUUACAAGAGCAGCUGGAUGCUCAGAAAAAGAAGAAUAAUGAAUUACGGGAAAAGAACUGGAAAGCAAUGGAGGCGUUAGAAAAAGCUGAAAAAUCAGCCUCAGUUAAAGUUGAUAAUGCUGUCAAAUCCUCUAGGGAUGAGAAGAGUCAGGCCCAGGUAUCUGAAAUAGAGGCUCUGGAUAAAGGAGUCUUACAAAGGCUCUUCCCAGACAUAGCUGUCAAUGCCAAGCUGGUUCAUAAUGACUGGAUGGGUCAGUUUGAGGAAGAAGCAUCAACAUACAUCACAAACGUCACCUCCAAGUCCUCAGAAAGUGCCGCGCAGGAUGCCAGGGUCCAAGAACUUACGUCCUCUAAUACAAAGUUACAGUCACAAGUGUCUGAGUACAAGCAGCUGGUUACAGAUGCUGAGACCAAACUUCAGCAGCUGGAGAAGAGUGUGGAGUCAGAGGAGAAGAGGUGGCAGAAGGAGCUUCAAGAUGCACAAUCCAAACUCAAAACGAGUACAAGCCAAGUUAGUGAAUUAGAGGUGAUAAUGUCACAAUACAAGUCAGAGGUGACAGUCAUCAAGAAAUCCCUAGCUGAGACAGAGAAUCGCUUAGGUGAGGCAGAAUCCAAAAAUCAGCAGGUUAAUGAGAGUAGGGCAGAAUCUAAUGCAGUUGAAGAAAAGUGCCGUCAGCUCCAAGACCGUGUUGGCCAGCUGGAGGAAAACAACUCUCAGUACGAGAAGCAGGUGCAGGAGUACCGGAAUGUCCUUGCCCUCACGGAGGACAAAUUGAGCCAGCUGGAACAGCAGGCCAAGACCGAGGAGUCCAGGUGGCAGGACAAGAUCACCAAGACAGAGACAGAUCUUCAGCAGUCCAAAAAAGAUGUGGAGUGUUUACAAGAGCAGGUGAAGAAGUUUCGAGGAAGUACUGAGGAUCUCUCUGAUUUGUCUUUCGCAUACGGCAUCGUAGAGAAAAGUCUGCCUCGUAUUAUUGAAGAGAUGGAGGUGAAGGUCGAGUCUCUGGAGAGCCAGUUGAAGGCCUCUGAAGAGAGGUGUUUGAUGCUGCAGAAAGAGUCUGAGGAGGCACAAACCAAAGUUGUUACAGUUCAAAGUCAGCUAGAAAUUACAAAGCAUUCUUCAGAUGAUUUAGAAGCCCUUAGGCGGCGGAUCAAGGAGCUUGAAGAUUUCUUUGAGGCAGAGAAAAAGAAAACAAAAGAUCUGUCCACAAAUAUUGUGAAGCUCAAUGGCAUCAUCAAGACCGGUCAAGAUGCUCUCAAGCAGGAACAGGGAACUGUAGAGAAACUCUCAGAACAGCUCAAUGCAGCACAGUCAGGAGGCGGAGGAUCUGGGAAGGGUGUGAAGGAGGUAUUGUGACCAGCAGACCUGUUCAGUAUGGAUGUGUGCGGGGCCAACACACAGGCCACUGCGUAGAACUCAGUCACUGAAGGCUGCUUCUCCGGGAAAUGAUGCGGGGACCUCAGUUUAACACCUGCUUUCUACUGGUUUAAAUUCUGCCAUGACGUACAUCUUCAUCUGGCAAUGCCCUAGCCAGACGUUGUCAUGUUGUCACUAUCAACGCUAUCAACCAGGUGGAUGAUCUUUGUGUCACCCAUGGAUGACAUCUUCUCUUCAGCUCAGUCAUAUCAUUAUCAUUUUAAAUAUACAUGUACAAUAGUUAUAAGUGUUUGUAUGACAGCAGUGUUUUUUACCAUUGCUUGCUUUUCUCACUGGUGAAUGUUCAUUGUCUUCCUUGUCAAAGGUCAAUGCAUUGUAGGUCAAGGUGACUUGAACAAGGAAACAUGUCACAUACUCUGAGGACAUGACAUUUUCUUGGUUUGGUUUAAUAAAAAAUACAUGCUUUCUAUACUUAACAGCAGCAUAUAUUUUAUUAAAUGAUAGUGUAUUGUAAAAAGACCUACUGACUUGACCUUGACCUUUGACAUUGGCUGCCAUGUUGUUAUUGCAGGCCAUGUUUCAUUGUGUCAGGUAACCUGUCAUCAUUGCUGUAGUUGGGGUGGAAACUCUUUCAUUAAAAAAAUGUCAUAUUUUAUGAGUACAGGUCAUAACCUGGUAGAGACAAUGCUGUCAGGACAAUUAUGUUUCAAAUCAGUAUAUUUUCAUAUGUGUAAAACUGAAGCAGACUUAUACUCCUAAUUUGUCUCACUACAGUCAUAAUAUGGUUAAGAUGAGUGACCUGAUUGAACACAACAUGAAUAUAAUCACAAGCAUUUAGUAAGGCAUUUAUGAAAUAAUGAAACUUGUGGACAAGCCAGAAUGCUGAAACUUACCUGGUUUGUAUCAUAAGAAGAUGUGGAAAUAACAUGUACACUGUAAUGGUUAGUAUUAAUGUUUUGUUAUUGACAUCAGGGUCAAUGUUUAGUCUUUUGUCUUUGAAAUUGAUCAUGUGAGGUAAUGCAUGGAGAUAAACUUUACAGCACUACUUAUGGAGACAACUGAAGUAUUACAGAAGUACAUGGAAUAGAUUACUGAAGACAUUUAAUGUGCUAGUACUAUGUAUUAAUUUGACCAAUUUGCACUGACAUGGUGUUGUAGAUGGCUCGGCUGCACAGCUUGUGUUUGCCAAGCCUUUGGAUACUGCAUAAUUGCUGGUUGUACUCGUCACAUUGCACAAGCCGAAGUGUGCAGAUAGCACCCGUUGGGCUGUCUUGCUAUUUUCAGCUGAUACUGUUCGUCAUUGUUGAGAUCUUAUUUUCAAUAUUUAAUUUGUUCAUGUUUAAACAUCUUUUUCUUUGUUUCCUCUCCAGUUGUCAUGUUGUUACUUUGUGAGGAUAUGUUGAAUAUGCAAUAUACAUGUAGAUGGGUCCACUCAUUGUUAAAGUUUGUUUUUCUGUGAAUAUGUUUGCUUAUUUACUUCCCCCACUUGGAAAACUGAAAGUGUAUUUUUUCAUGGGGCAAUAUCAGGUGAUUGUAAAUUAACAUUUGAUGCUGAAAUGUCGAAAUUGUUAAUCUUAGAAAUGUGAAAAUUAGUCUGAAUUUAUUUUUGCAGUAGUGACCAAAUUAUGUUUUGUGGAUUAAGAUAUGUAGUUGUUUCCCCAUUAGGUUUCCCUACUAGUAUAAUAUUGUUCUGACACAUGGUACACCUGUUGCUGUUGCCUAUAUGUCCAUUGUACAGAAUCAACUUUGUACAGUAAUUGCACUUUGAUUAUUUACAGUGAUAUAUUAUUAUGAUAUUUCUGCAUUGUAGAAGCUGUGUGAUGAAGGUGGUAGGGGCAGAGUAUACAGUGUGAACACAAGAUGACAUAGCUUAUUGGUAGCAACAGGUGAAGGGAGGGCUUAGUUUUUGUUCAUGACCAGCAACACCUUAUAUUAAAACAAUAUCAUAUCAAAUGUCACAAAAAAUUGUCAGUGAUGAAACUAGAUUAUGGCAUAUUCAUUACUUUUAUUUAUAAAUAUACAAAUUCAUCUACUUGUUUAGAAGAACUGUAAAGUAAGUAAAGCUAGUCGCAGGGACUCACAGAGCAUGUACCAGCUCAUUAACAGACAGUAUACUUCACAGUGCCUUUCAGCUGAUUAUUUACUCUUGCAUGUACCCACUUAGCGCAGCUUCUUAUGUCCAGGACCAUACCAUGUACUAUGUGCCAAUUGUAGCUGAGGCGGGUACUCGCCAUGUACAUUGAUCCAUUACAUAACACUAUUUAAAUUCUGUUGUGCUAGAUUUGGCCUGUCUUUCCUUGGUAGCCAUUGUAGUGUUGAUCUGCAGAGCAGGUUAUCCUUUCUGCCAGAGACGGCAAACAGAAUUGUUACUAGUCACAUAUUGUUUUGUUUCAGGUUAUCAUUUGUAACAUAGAUUAUCAUUUAUUGUAAGAAUCCAAUGCAGUUACCUGCUUGCCACGUAUCAAUAGGCUAGAUGACAUUAAUCACUGAAUAAUUUACCAAUGAGAUUUUAUGUUGAUUUAUUGUAAUUAAGCAUGUUAAGCAUGUAUUGGUCCAUAGGUAGACUGUUCAGUAAAUAUCGGACCAGGUAACAUGUUUCUGGUAACAAGCUACUGCCCCAGUAUCGCCAUGCCAACCAGGGAGGGUGUUGCCAGGUUCCUGCUGUGUCACAAGGAAUGACAAUGGUAUGAGGUGCGGUUAAGGUUACAGUCACUGUUUCAUUGUACACAAAUGGCUGGCAAAUCUUCUUUCCUGGUUGCAGUGACUGGGUCAGGUCACAUGCUUCAUUCACACUUGGUGGAGGGGCCUGCAGACUGGGCUAUAUGGGGGCCCCUUUGUCCAGUUUGUAUGGAAUCUCUAGUGAUUGUUCACUGUGUGACUCAUGUCCAGCAUUGGUCAAGCUCAGUUAAUAAAAGUUAUGUCUCACCA
rnacentral:misc_RNA from 1 species